rnacentral:sRNA from 1 species
GCGUAAAGUAGGAAGGCUAAGAAUGCCUCGUUCUGAGGCAACGCCUUCAUAACCAACAUCGUGUUGG